AUUAUCAUCCGUGUCGUGGACUGGUGGGAAGUCUUAAGAGAGUCGUGAUCACAGAUAGUGACUAACUGCAUGAUGACAUGUGGCCAGAGAAUGAAUAUCCUCCUGAGGAGUUGUAAUGGUUGAUUGCCAACCUGACGGGAAUGAAAACUCCCGGAUUAGUAAAGCCAGCCUUGGUGGUGAAUACACACGUGCUAACACCAUCACCACCAAAAGAAGAGUACUGGGUGUCCUGUGACACUACAACAGUUAUAGCCAUCACUGGGCCACAGGAAACUUUCAUCUCCAUGGUAACCUGAUAGGAGCGGAGUCAUACACGCAGUGGAAGUGUGUGCUCUGGACUCUCUCAAGGCAAAGCAGCAAGGUCUUCUCAGAGGUGGAGCUGUCGCUAAGGGCAAGGAAGACACAGAACUGAGACCUUUAUCUCCAUUUCUAUUCCUUGGAACUGCAACUUCUCCAGCCUGUGGUCUUCAACUAAAAAUAAAAAACAGUCCUUGGUGGGUUGGGACACUUGAAGA